CUUCCACUGAACUGGGAGCUAAUCUGGUGUGCACAUGAUCACAUUUGGCUUCUUAUGAAAGUUAAUUGCCCCAUCAUUCACUUCCCACAUCUGAACAUGGUGACUGAAGGCGGUAUAGGGAGUUUCAAGGCUGCAGCUUUCCUGCGUCAUCACUCACACUGCUGACUAGCAGUGAUCUACGCAUCUGUUUUCUCUGUGUAUAACAGCUCUGGCUGUCCUGAAACUUGAUUUGUAC